rnacentral:rRNA from 1 species
AACGAACGCUGGCGGCAGGCUUAACACAUGCAAGUCGAGCGCCCCGCAAGGGGAGCGGCAGACGGGUGAGUAACACGUGGGAAUCUACCCAUCCCUACGGAACAACUCCGGGAAACUGGAGCUAAUACCGUAUACGCCCUUUGGGGGAAAGAUUUAUCGGGGAUGGAUGAGCCCGCGUUGGAUUAGCUAGUUGGUGGGGUAAAGGCCUACCAAGGCGACGAUCCAUAGCUGGUCUGAGAGGAUGAUCAGCCACAUUGGGACUGAGACACGGCCCAAACUCCUACGGGAGGCAGCAGUGGGGAAUAUUGGACACUGGGCGCAAGCCUGAUCCAGCCAUGCCGAGUGAGUGAUGAAGGUCUUAGGAUUGUAAAGCUCUUUCACCGAUGAAGAUAAUGACGGUAGUCGGAGAAGAAGCCCCGGCUAACUUCGUGCCAGCCGCCGCGGUAA